rnacentral:tRNA from 1 species
ACCUAGCUGGCUCAGGUGGUAGAACAUAAGACUCCUGCUCUCAGGCCUGUGGGUUCCGGCCCCACGCUGGGUG